GAGCUUACACAUGCAAGUCGAGCGGAGCGAGGGUGCUUGCACCUUAGCUUAGCGGCGGACGGGUGAGUAAUGCUUAGGAAUCUGCCUAUUAGUGGGGGACAACAUUCCGAAAGGAAUGCUAAUACCGCAUACGCCCUACGGGGGAAAGCAGGGGAUCUUCGGACCUUGCGCUAAUAGAUGAGCCUAAGUCGGAUUAGCUAGUUGGUGGGGUAAAGGCCUACCAAGGCGACGAUCUGUAGCGGGUCUGAGAGGAUGAUCCGCCACACUGGGACUGAGACACGGCCCAGACUCCUACGGGAGGCAGCAGUGGGGAAUAUUGGACAAUGGGCGGAAGCCUGAUCCAGCCAUGCCGCGUGUGUGAAGAAGGCCUUUUGGUUGUAAAGCACUUUAAGCGAGGAGGAGGCUACUUAGAUUAAUACUCUAGGAUAGUGGACGUUACUCGCAGAAUAAGCACCGGCUAACUCUGUGCCAGCAGCCGCGGUAAUACAGAGGGUGCGAGCGUUAAUCGGAUUUACUGGGCGUAAAGCGUGCGUAGGCGGCUUUUUAAGUCGGAUGUGAAAUCCCCGAGCUUAACUUGGGAAUUGCAUUCGAUACUGGGAAGCUAGAGUAUGGGAGAGGAUGGUAGAAUUCCAGGUGUAGCGGUGAAAUGCGUAGAGAUCUGGAGGAAUACCGAUGGCGAAGGCAGCCAUCUGGCCUAAUACUGACGCUGAGGUACGAAAGCAUGGGGGAGCAAACAGGGAUUAGAUACCCUGGUAGUCCAUGC
rnacentral:rRNA from 1 species